GUCCACGCCGUAAACGAUGGGCACUAGGUGCUCCGGGGAGCGACCCUUGGAGUACCGGCGCUAACGCAUGAAGUGCCCCGCCUGGGGAGUACGGCCGCAAGGCUGAAACUCAAAGGAAUUGACGGGGGCCCGCACAAGCGGUGGAGCAUGUGGUUUAAUUCGACGCAACGCGCAGAACCUUACCUAGGCUUGACAUGCACGGGAAAGCUGGUGGAAACACCGGCCCCUCUUCGGAGUCCGUGCACAGGUGCUGCAUGGCUGUCGU
rnacentral:rRNA from 1 species